AAGGAAUCCAGAAACCACUGAAGUAACUGCACCAAGUAUAAAUGAUACAGUGCUGAAUAUAGCCGUCGCCAAAGCUGGCUUGCAAGUCUUUGUUUUGUCAUAUGAGCACGCUUGGGGCUUGGUACUAAAACCCUCCACUGACCCAAGGAAUACAAAAAUCAAGACUGCAAACAAUACCAUAAAUAUGCCAACAUAGUAGUACUCCGUGAAAAGGAAGGAGGUUGCCCCCUCAGAGAUGGCGUUCUGAAUUUCGGCACAUUUAAUAACAACGUUAUGGUCGUUGACACCUUCUUCCUCCUCAAUAAGGUAGUCGGAGUAGCCAUUUUUAGCAGCGGCGGAGUUGUUAUUAGAGGAAUCUCGGGAAGAAGAGAGCUUAACUUGUGAAACGUAGUACCACUGCACCAAAGAGAAGAGGAUACCGACUAGAGCACAAAGGGGAAUGAAAAUCUGAGCCCCGAGAUCUGGAAGAAUGGUGACGCCCA
rnacentral:misc_RNA from 1 species